UUAAACUAAAGAGUUUGAUCCUGGCUCAGAUUGAACGCUGGCGGCAUGCCUUACACAUGCAAGUCGAACGGCAGCACGGAGCUUGCUCUGGUGGCGAGUGGCGAACGGGUGAGUAAUAUAUCGGAACGUACCCAGGAGUGGGGGAUAACGUAGCGAAAGUUACGCUAAUACCGCAUACGUCCUAAGGGAGAAAGUGGGGGAUCGCAAGACCUCAUGCUCAUGGAGCGGCCGAUAUCUGAUUAGCUAGUUGGUAGGGUAAAAGCCUACCAAGGCAACGAUCAGUAGCUGGUCUGAGAGGACGACCAGCCACACUGGAACUGAGACACGGUCCAGACUCCUACGGGAGGCAGCAGUGGGGAAUUUUGGACAAUGGGGGCAACCCUGAUCCAGCAAUGCCGCGUGAGUGAAGAAGGCCUUCGGGUUGUAAAGCUCUUUUGUCAGGGAAGAAAAGGGUCCGGCUAAUAUCCGGGCCUCAUGACGGUACCUGAAGAAUAAGCACCGGCUAACUACGUGCCAGCAGCCGCGGUAAUACGUAGGGUGCAAGCGUUAAUCGGAAUUACUGGGCGUAAAGCGUGCGCAGGCGGUUUUGUAAGACUGUCGUGAAAUCCCCGGGCUCAACCUGGGAAUGGCGAUGGUGACUGCAAGGCUAGAGUUUGGCAGAGGGGGGUAGAAUUCCACGUGUAGCAGUGAAAUGCGUAGAUAUGUGGAGGAACACCGAUGGCGAAGGCAGCCCCCUGGGUCAAAACUGACGCUCAUGCACGAAAGCGUGGGGAGCAAACAGGAUUAGAUACCCUGGUAGUCCACGCCCUAAACGAUGUCUACUAGUUGUCGGGUCUUAAUUGACUUGGUAACGCAGCUAACGCGUGAAGUAGACCGCCUGGGGAGUACGGUCGCAAGAUUAAAACUCAAAGGAAUUGACGGGGACCCGCACAAGCGGUGGAUGAUGUGGAUUAAUUCGAUGCAACGCGAAAAACCUUACCUACCCUUGACAUGGCAGGAAUCC
rnacentral:rRNA from 1 species